rnacentral:rRNA from 1 species
UAGAGUUUGAUCAUGGCUCAGAUUGAACGCUGGCGGCAGGCCUAACACAUGCAAGUCGAGCGGAAACGAGAAUAGCUUGCUAUUCGGCGUCGAGCGGCGGACGGGUGAGUAAUGCCUGGGAAAUUGCCCUGAUGUGGGGGAUAACCAUUGGAAACGAUGGCUAAUACCGCAUAAUAGCUUCGGCUUAAAGAGGGGGACCUUCGGGCCUCUCGCUUCAGGAUAUGCCCAGGUGGGAUUAGCUAGUUGGUGAGGUAAAGGCUCACCAAGGCGACGAUCCCUAGCUGGUCUGAGAGGAUGAUCAGCCACACUGGAACUGAGACACGGUCCAGACUCCUACGGGAGGCAGCAGUGGGGAAUAUUGCACAAUGGGCGCAAGCCUGAUGCAGCCAUGCCGCGUGUAUGAAGAAGGCCUUCGGGUUGUAAAGUACUUUCAGCAGUGAGGAAGGGUGUGUAGUUAAUAGCUGCAUACUUUGACGUUAGCUGCAGAAGAAGCACCGGCUAACUCCGUGCCAGCAGCCGCGGUAAUACGGAGGGUGCGAGCGUUAAUCGGAAUUACUGGGCGUAAAGCGCAUGCAGGUGGUUUGUUAAGUCAGAUGUGAAAGCCCGGGGCUCAACCUCGGAACCGCAUUUGAAACUGGCAGGCUAGAGUACUGUAGAGGGGGGUAGAAUUUCAAUCCCGCG